rnacentral:lncRNA from 1 species
GUUGAGGUUUGCUAGCAAACCAAACUCUAACAAAGAACACUGUUUAUUUUUUCUUUUCUUUUCUUGAGAUAGAUAUUUUUUAUUUUAAGUUCUGGGAUACAUGUGCAGAACGUGCAGGUUUGCUACAUAGAUACACAUGUGCCAUGGUGGUUUGCUGCACCUAUCAACCCAUCAUCUAGGUUUUAAGCCCUGUUUUGAUUUGAAUAUUAUUCAAUACAAGUGAAGAUUGAAAUGUGGACAUUUAUGCUAAGAACAGCUUCUGGAAUUAUAGAUUUGCCUUGUAUUCUUACCAAUUGUAAGAUGGAUAAACAAGCAGAAAUUCAAAAUGACAUAAUUAUAUUUCUUUGCAUCUGGAUUUUAUUCUGUUCCUGGUUCAAGUUUCAAGAUUGCCAAGAAUGACGAGUUGGACUUGGUCUAGUUACUUCCACAGCAGCAGGAGGAACAUGUGUGUGACUCAGGAUAACUGGGGAAGCCUUGGCUAGGCUUUCCUCAUGUCAACCUACCACUCAAAGGGAGAAAACCUCCUGAUCAGAGGAAAUCCAUAAUUUUUGAAUGCUGGCUGAGGUCUGUGACCUCUGACUGAAUGGUUUCCAAGCUCCGAAUUCCUAGGUGAUGUUUUCAUUUGUUCACAGUUGCUGAAGAAGGGAAAGGCUCUCUGAUUUACGUGUAAGCAAAACAAUCUAAACAGUAGGAUAAAAUCAUGUUGGAAUGGAGUUCUGUGUGGAUGCUCCUUUGAACCAAAUCAGUUCCACAACUGACCCUGUCAGGGACAUAUAAAUUUAGCAUUUUGGUGUGGAUACAGAAGACGAGAUUAACACAGAUCAAGUAACAUGGAAAUAAAAAAGGAGACAAUGCUGGAUGAUACAGGGGCAGC